UACGUAGGGCGCAAGCGUUGUCCGGAAUUAUUGGGCGUAAAGAGCUCGUAGGCGGUCUGUCGCGUCGGCUGUGAAAGCCCGGGGCUCAACCCCGGGUCUGCAGUCGAUACGGGCAGGCUAGAGUGCGGUAGGGGAGACUGGAAUUCCUGGUGUAGCGGUGAAAUGCGCAGAUAUCAGGAGGAACACCGGUGGCGAAGGCGGGUCUCUGGGCCGUAACUGACGCUGAGGAGCGAAAGCAUGGGGAGCGAACAGG
rnacentral:rRNA from 1 species